GAUGCUGCAAGCAAUAUUGAAUCAUCUGGAUCCACACGGCAGAAGCCCAAGCUCAUGACCAUGGGAUCUUGCAGACUGGAAACCUCUUUUGGCAACCUGACUUUAUGAAGUGCCUCAAAAUCAUCACCUCUCCCUUCUGCCCUCUCCCACUGUGCUGUACAAGGGAACUGAAAAGUGAGAACAGAGUGCAGAUGUAUCCCGCCGAGUUUGCUGUUUGCCACUGA